rnacentral:rRNA from 1 species
GGCUCAACCCGGGGAGGGUCAUUGGGAAACUGGGGGAAACUUGAGUGCAGAAGAGGAGAGUGGAAUUUCCACGUGUAGCCGGUGAAAUGCGUAGAGAUGUGGAGGAACACCAGUGGCGAAGGCGACUCUCUGGUCUGUAACUGACGCUGAGGCGCGAAAGCGUGGGGAGCGAACAGGAUUAGAUACCCUGGUAGUCCACGCCGUAAACGAUGAGUGCUAAGUGUUAGAGGGUUUCCGCCCUUUAGUGCUGCAGCAAACGCAUUAAGCACUCCGCCUGGGGAGUACGGUCGCAAGACUGAAACUCAAAGGAAUUGACGGGGGCCCGCACAAGCGGUGGAGCAUGUGGUUUAAUUCGAAGCAACGCGAAGAACCUUACCAGGUCUUGACAUCCUCUGACAACCCUAGAGAUAGGGCUUCCCCUUCGGGGGCAGAGUGACAGGUGGUGCAUGGUUGUCGUCAGCUCGUGUCGUGAGAUGUUGGGUUAAGUCCCGCAACGAGCGCAACCCUUGAUCUUAGUUGCCAGCAUUCAGUUGGGCACUCUAAGGUGACUGCCGGUGACAAACCGGAGGAAGGUGGGGAUGACGUCAAAUCAUCAUGCCCCUUAUGACCUGGGCUACACACGUGCUACAAUGGGCAGAACAAAGGGCAGCGAAGCCGCGAGGCUAAGCCAAUCCCACAAAUCUGUUCUCAGUUCGGAUCGCAGU